UGGCGAACGGGUGAGUAACACGUGGGUGAUCUGCCCUGCACUUCGGGAUAAGCUUGGGAAACUGGGUCUAAUACCGGAUAGGAACCAUCUUUAGUGUGGUGGUUGGAAAGUUUUUUCGGUGUAGGAUGAGCUCGCGGCCUAUCAGCUUGUUGGUGUGGUAAUGGCCUACCAAGGCGGCGAUGAGUAGCCGGCCUGAGAGGGUGUACGGCCACAUUGGGACUGAGAUACGGCCCAG
rnacentral:rRNA from 1 species